GACGAACGCUGGCGGCGUGCUUAACACAUGCAAGUCGAACGGAAAGGCCCUGCUUUUGCGGGGUGCUCGAUUGGCGAACGCGGGAGUAACACGUGAGUAACCUCCCCCUAUCAUUGUGAUAACUUCACGAAACUGGGGCUAUUACCGGAGAGGAUCUUCUGCAGCACGGUGGGGGUUGGUAAGUUUCGGCGGUUGGGGAUGGACUCGCUGCUUAUGCGCUGGAUGGUGGGGUAGUGGCUUACCAAGGCUUUGACGGGUAGCCGGCCUGGGAGGGUGACCGGGCACAUUGGGACUGAGGGAGGGCGCAGUCGCGUACGGGAGGCAGCAGGGGGGAGUAUGGCGGAGUGGGGGGGAGCGUGAUGCAGCGGCGCCGGGUGCGGGAUGAUGGGCUUCGGGUGGUGAACCGCUGUCGCCGGUGACGAAGCGUGAGUGACGGUAAUGGGUAAAGAAGCACCGGCUAACUACGUG
rnacentral:rRNA from 1 species